rnacentral:lncRNA from 1 species
CCCUCCUGCGUGUGUCGAAUCUCCGUUGCGGAUGUUAAAACCACGCAAUGACUGAAGAAAAAGGCAAGCAUCUGCGGCUUCGAAGCAAGAUACUCAACCACAGCUGAGACUUUCUUUGUCUACCCCCCACCCCCGCCUCGAGGGAGGCCCACGUGAAGAAGAUGCAGAUUUCCAGAGCCAUAAAUUAAGGGACGAUUAGUCACGUUGCAAUCUUUCUUCAAAGGAUUCUUUAAAGGCUCCUUCAUUGAAGUGUUUACAGCACAGUAACUUGCAGACUGAGAGGCUGGGGUGGGGGUGGGGUGCAGGGUGGGUGGGGGUGCCAUCAGGGGAACAGCCAGAGAACCGAGAAGACACUGGGAGAAACAUUGGGAAGGCCCUCCCACGGGAGCCACCCUGAGGAGGACCUGACGGACAAGAUUGCAUGGAUUCAGCAGCGGGUCGCCCAGCACCCGCUUGGUGGUGCAUGUGUCCCCGCUGCUGGGGAAGUGAAUAGAAAAAACCAGCCGUGCCAUCUCUUCUCCCACCCUUUUCCUGGAACUCUGAAGUUUGGCUUUUGUUGGAUUAAUGACCUCUAAGUUCCCACCUCGGUUUCUGGGAUCAAGUCCCUUAGCCACUCAGCACCUUGGCCCACUGGGCAGCAGGCUGACAGUGAGGGCUGAGCUCACGUGGCAGCUGUGGGGGGCUCAAUGGAGUCUCUUCUGAAGGUGGAGACAGGUCCGCUGGAGCCCAGACGUACCCCCUCUGGAGCCAUUACACAACCUGCU